CGCGUAGGCGGCUAGAAAAGUCGGAUGUGAAAUUCCGGGGCUCAACCCCGGAGCUGCAUUUGAAACUCUCUAGCUAGAGUACAGUUAGGGUAAACGGAAUUCCACGUGUAGCGGUGAAAUGCGUAGAUAUGUGGAAGAACACCGGUGGUGAAGACGGUUUACUGGGCUGUUUCUGACGCUGAGGCGCGAAAGCAUGGGUAAGCAAACA
rnacentral:rRNA from 1 species